GUGGGGAAUUUUGGACAAUGGGCGCAAGCCUGAUCCAGCCAUUCCGCGUGCAGGAUGAAGGCCUUCGGGUUGUAAACUGCUUUUGUACGGAACGAAAAGCCUCUGGUUAAUACCCGGGGGUCAUGACGGUACCGUAAGAAUAAGCACCGGCUAACUACGUGCCAGCAGCCGCGGUAAUACGUAGGGUGCGAGCGUUAAUCGGAAUUACUGGGCGUAAAGCGUGCGCAGGCGGUGCUGUAAGACAGGCGUGAAAUCCCCGGGCUCAACCUGGGAAUUGCGCUUGUGACUGCAGUGCUGGAGUACGGCAGAGGGGGAUGGAAUUCCGCGUGUAGCAGUGAAAUGCGUAGAUAUGCGGAGGAACACCGAUGGCGAAGGCAGUCCCCUGGGCCUGUACUGACGCUCAUGCACGAAAGCGUGGGGAGCAAACAGGAUUAGAUACCCCUGUAGUCC
rnacentral:rRNA from 1 species